rnacentral:rRNA from 1 species
CAGCCGCCGCGGUAAUACGUAGGGUGCGAGCGUUAAUCGGAAUUACUGGGCGUAAAGCGUGCGCAGGCGGUUAUAUAAGUCAGAUGUGAAAUCCCCGGGCUCAACCUGGGAACUGCAUAUGAGACUGUAUGACUAGAGUGUGUCAGAGGGGGGUAGAAUUCCACGUGUAGCAGUGAAAUGCGUAGAUAUGUGGAGGAAUACCGAUGGCGAAGGCAGCCCCCUGGGAUAACACUGACGCUCAUGCACGAAAGCGUGGGGAGCAAACAGGAUUAGAUACCCCAGUAGUCCCUGUCUCUUAUAC